UACGGGGGGGGGCAAGCGUUGUUCGGAAUUACUGGGCGUAAAGGGCGCGUAGGCGGCCAUCUAAGUCAGACGUGAAAUCCCUCGGCUCAACCGAGGAACUGCGUCUGAUACUGGAAGGCUUGAAUCCGGGAGAGGGAUGUGGAAUUCCAGGUGUAGCGGUGAAAUGCGUAGAUAUCUGGAGGAACACCGGUGGCGAAGGCGGCAUCCUGGACCGGUAUUGACGCUGAGGCGCGAAAGCUAGGGGAGCAAACGGGG
rnacentral:rRNA from 1 species